rnacentral:rRNA from 1 species
AAUGAACGCUGGCGGCAGGCCUAACACAUGCAAGUCGAACGGAUCCUUCGGGAUUAGUGGCGGACGGGUGAGUAACGCGUGGGAACGUGCCCUUUGGUUCGGAAUAGCCUCGGGAAACUGGGAGUAAUACCGGAUAAGCCCUUCGGGGGAAAGAUUUAUCGCCAAAGGAUCGGCCCGCGUUGGAUUAGGUAGUUGGUGGGGUAAUGGCCUACCAAGCCGACGAUCCAUAGCUGGUUUGAGAGGAUGAUCAGCCACACUGGGACUGAGACACGGCCCAGACUCCUACGGGAGGCAGCAGUGGGGAAUCUUAGAUAAUGGGGGAAACCCUGAUCUAGCCAUGCCGCGUGAUCGAUGAAGGCCUUAGGGUUGUAAAGAUCUUUCAGUUGGGAAGAUAAUGACGGUACCAACAGAAGAAGCCCCGGCUAACUCCGUGCCAGCAGCAGCCGCGGUAA